UACGGAGGAUGCGAGCGUUAUCCGGAUUUAUUGGGUUUAAAGGGUGCGUAGGCGGCCGAGUAGGUCAGCGGUGAAAUUUUGCAGCUUAACUGUAACAGUGCCGUUGAUACUGGGGAGCUAGGAUUUGGUUGCUGUGGGUGGAAUGUGUGGUGUAGCGGUGAAAUGCUUAGAGAUCACACAGAAUAUCGAUUGCGAAGGCAGCUCACAAAGCCAAGAUUGACGCUGAGGCACGAAAGUGUGGGGAUCAAACAGGA
rnacentral:rRNA from 1 species